CAAAUCAAUGUUACCAUCGGUCAACUUUGGCUCGUAGGCCUAGAUUGGGCAUCUCUGCACUGGAGGAAGAGUAAAAGUGGGUAAAUAUCCAUUUUUGGGUGACCUAUAGCUUAAUGUUAAUUAUAGGACCACUACCUGUGUGUGCCUGAAACGUGGGUCUGCAGCAGGAUAUCUCUCACCACCAACCCUGCAGUGCUGAAGCUGAUCUCCGAUAGAGCAGCAAUGGAGUUUAUUUUUCGCGGAAUAAGCCACAGGUCAUGAAAAGCGAGGAAGAGGGGAAAACAACGCUAUUUGUCAGUCCAGCUACAUGUAUAUGUGCUGCCGAAGCAAGCACGAACUAAGGGCCUGGAGGACUGCUAUAUAUCCUGUGGACUUCUGGGUAUGUUUCUGGCAUGUGACCUUCCCCCGCCGCAGCCCAGAGGACAAUACACGCAGACACUAGAAAACGGUCCACCGAAACAUUCACAGACCCUCGGAGGCUAAGAAGAUCUCUAAAAACCUGAAAAGCAGAGCUCAAAGCAGCUAUUGAACUGACAGCCGAAGAAACACUCAAGCUAAUGUUAAGGCUAGUGCUUCCCCUUCGUGUGCUCAGUGACAUUCUCAGGCAUAGCGUAGUGUAUUUGUAAUGUUUAAAAUGGGGUUUAGAUGCACCGAAAAGGGUCACAAUGAUAUAUAUGUCUCAACCAUGUUUCUGAUAACUUACUUUUACAAUAUUUUAUCUGCAUAGCUUAAAAAGAGGGGUAUUACUACCAAAAAAUGACACUUUACUCAUCAUUUACUCCAGCGUUAACUAGCUUGAGUUUCUUUUUUUGUUGUUGAAUACAAAAGGAGAUUUUUGAAGAAUGCUGGAAAAGGGUAGCCACUGACGUCUAUGGUAGAAUAAAAAUACACACAAAAAAUACACAGGAAGUAUGCAUUUAUUUAAUUGAAAAAAAACUGUAAUAUCGUGAAUUGCUAUUAUUAUAAAGGUUUUUACUAUGUUAUUACGAUGGAAGUCAGUUCUGGUGUUUCCAGUGAUGUGCGUUCCAGUUUGUGUUCAAAAGAAAAAGGAAACUCAAACACAUCCAAAACAAGUGGAGGAUGUGUGAACGAUCACAGAAUGUUAAUUUUUCGGUAAACUGUCCCUUUAAGUGGUUCAAAUACUGUGUUAGUUUAUUCCCAUCUGAACACAAAAGAAGAUACUUUAAAAAAUGUCCAGAACCAGUACAUUUGUAGUAGGGAAGAAAAUACUAUGGAAGUCAAUGUUUAUCGGUUUCAAACCUUUUUUUCACAUUUUAUUCAAAUAAAAAUGACCGUAUUUUAAUUUUUGGGCCAACUGUCCAUUUAAGUGGUUCAAAUACUGUUAUUCCCAUUUAAACACAAAAGAAGAUAUUUAAAAAAUGUCCAAAACAGUAAAUUCAUAGUAGGGAAGAAACUACUAUGGAAGUCAAUGGUUUUCGGUUUCAAACCUAUUUUCAAUUUUUUUUAAAUAAAGAUGAUGAUUUAAGUGGUUCAAGUACUGUGUUAUUCUCGUUUAAACACAAAAGAAUAUAUUUUGGAAAAUGUUAAAAAUUAGUACAAUCGUAGUGGGGAAGAAAAUACUAUGGAAGUCAAUGGUUACCGUUGUUUUCAAUUUUUUUUUUUCAAAUAAAGAUGACAUAAUUUUCAUUUUUAGGUGAACUGUACCUCUAAGUGGUUCAAAUACUGUGUUAUUCACAUUUGAACACAUUUUAAAAGAAGAUAUUUAGAAAAAUUUUCAAAAUCAGUACAUUCAUAGUGGGGAAGAAAAUACAAUGGAAGUCAAGAAUUUAAAAUAGAGAUGACUGAAUUUUAAUUUUUGGGUCAGCCUUCGAUUUAAAUGGUUCACAUACUGUGUUAUUCUCUAUGUUUCUUCAAAUAAAUAUGACAGAAAUUUAAAUUUUUGGGUGAACUGUCUCUUUAAGAGGUUUAAAUACUGUUAGUUUAUUCCCAUUUGAACACGAAAGAAGAUAUUUAGAAAAAUGUCCACAACCAGUACAUUCGUAGUAGGGAAGAAAAUAGAAUAGAAGUUAAUGGUUACCAGUUUCAAACUUUUUGCACAUUUUAUUCAAUAAAGAUGACCGAAUUUUCAUAUUUGGGCCAACUGUCCAUUUAAGUGGUUCAAAAAAAUGUUCAAAAUCAGUACAUUCAUGGUGGGGAAGAAAAUAUGGAGGUCAAUGGUUACCGGUUUUAAACCUUUUUUCAAAUGAAGAUGACAGAAUGGGUGAACUGUCCCUUUAAUGUAUCCAGUGUAGAAUUCUCUAUUCAUCAAAGACUUCUAGGAGAGAUAAAUAUUUCUACAAAAAUAGCUAGUAUAAGCUAGCUAUCAUUAUUAAAACAUUAAAAGACCAUCACAGUGAA